rnacentral:tRNA from 1 species
GAGACGUGUACCGAGNGUUCGCCUGAUAAGCGAGAGGUCGGUGGUUCAAGUCCACUCAGACCCACCA